UGUGUUUCCAGCUUCAGAGGUAAACAGUUUUUAUAUUGCUAAUUAAAUUAUGUGCAAGUAUAUUAACAAAAAACAAAUUUUAAUAUUUUUAGAUGGCAGAAAAUAAACAACGCACAGUUUGCUAUCCAUUUUUCCAAUAUUCUUUACUUUUUCACACACUUUUAUUUCACUUUUUUUUUAAAUAAAUAAACAAAUUUCACUAUCAGCUGUCUAAAUGUACAAGUCUGCCGUCUGUCACCAUAAAAUUUCAAUGCUCAUUAGCGUUGCUAAAGGCGCAUUAAUUUUGCUCGUCAUGCAUGCUCAUGCAGUUAUCGCUGUCGCUUUUAGACAACAAUGAACAGUUGUAGUGCUGUGGCUAAUAUGUGAAAUGUAAAAUUAUUCUAAGCUCUAACAAAUCUAACAGAAAAGUUUCAGUACGGCGGCAACGAAGUUGUAUACAUUAGUUGUUUGAUGUCACUGCUGGGUAAAAAAGUGUUCAAGAAGCUGGCUUCAAGAUGACAUUUGCAGGCAGGACAAUUUCGCUGUCGUGCACUCAUGUCGGGCAGUCUUUGUGUUCAAAGCAUUAUUUAUAACUCUUGUGACUCGAAGUAAAGCAAAUAAAAACAUCUUUAGAUACGAUGUAUUAAAAUUUGGUAUAUUAUGAGUACUUUAUUUUUAUUCAGUGCUGAUCUGUUAUACACACUUAACAUAAUUUCAAACAAAUACAAUUAUAUAACAAAUACAUACUUAAUUAUAAAGGCAAUAAAAUACACAAAACUACUGUUCAGUAAUACAAAAAAUCUAUGUAACGUACUAGUAGGUACAUGUAAUACUAAAUUAUGAAGCUAUUGGACUACCAAGUAUCUAUUUCAGCAAUUUAUGUUACAAAUUUGUAAAUCAAAUUAGGGUUUGUAUAAUAUACACCUACCGAAAUAUAUUUUUACACGUUUUGGAUUAGGUUAUGCCAAUUUAUUUUCUAGUAAAUUUUUUAAACAUAAAUAUAAAAAUAUGAAUUUUUGAAGAACUUCAUAAGUCAUGUACAUAUGUAUGUAUAUA